rnacentral:rRNA from 1 species
CGAACGGGUGAGUAAUGCGUGACCAACCUGCCCCAUGCUCCAGAAUAGCUCUUGGAAACGGGUGGUAAUGCUGGAUGCUCCAACUUGACGCAUGUCUUGUUGGGAAAGUGUUUAGUGGCAUGGGAUGGGGUCGCGUCCUAUCAGCUUGUAGGCGGGGUAAUGGCCCACCUAGGCUUCGACGGGUAGCCGGCCUGAGAGGGCGGACGGCCACAUUGGGACUGAGAUACGACCCAGACUCCUACGGGAGGCAGCAGUA